rnacentral:SRP_RNA from 1 species
GCUGGGUGUGGUGGCGCACACCUAUAAUCCCAGCUACUCGGGAGGCUGAGGCAGGAGAAUCGCUUGAACCUGGGAGGCAGAGGUUGCAGUGAGCUGAGCUUGUACCACUGCACUUCAGCCUGGGUGAGAGAGCAAGAUUCUGUCUCAA